rnacentral:rRNA from 1 species
GACGUAGGGCGCGAGCGUUGUCCGGAUUUAUUGGGCGUAAAGGGCUCGUAGGCGGUUUGUCGCGUCUGCUGUGAAAACUCGGGGCUUAACCCCGGGCCUGCAGUGGGUACGGGCAGACUAGAGUGCGGUAGGGGAGACUGGAAUUCCUGGUGUAGCGGUGAAAUGCGCAGAUAUCAGGAGGAACACCGGUGGCGAAGGCGGGUCUCUGGGCCGUAACUGACGCUGAGGAGCGAAAGCAUGGGGAGCGAACAGG